rnacentral:rRNA from 1 species
AGCGAGUGAGGAGGGGCGCAGCGGUGUGCGCAGAAGGGAUUGGGCGUGAGCCUGCCUGGAGCCGCCGUUGGUGCAGAUCUUGGUGGUAGUAGCAAAUACUCGAGCGAUAUCCUGGAGAUCUGAUGUGGAGAAGGGUUCCAUGUGAACAGCCUUUGCACAUGGGUCAGUCUGUCCUAAGCUGCAGGAGAAAUCCGGGUUCUGGCGAAAUCAGCGCUCCCGCAUAUUAAAACCAUGACUGGGUGUCGCUGCCAAACCUAAGCGAGAGGGAAUCCGGUACUGAUUCCGGAACCUGGUCACGGAUAACCUCUCUUCGGAGAGGGUCGUUGGGGUCCUCGUGAUCUACACCGUAAGGUGGCUAAACUCGGGGAAGUCGGCCGCUGUCCCGGGCAGAGUUUUCUGUUCUGUAUAAGGGCCCGGAUCCCUGGAAUCGCUCGCGCGGAGAGAGGGAACUGGUUUAUUUUAGCCCGAAGAGAGCCCCGCAGUUCUUGCGGGGUCCGAUUGG